AACUAACGCUGGCGGCGUGCCUAACACAUGCAAGUCGUACGAGAAAGUUGGCUUCGGCCGAUGAGUAAAGUGGCGCACGGGUGAGUAAUGCGUGGAUAAUCUGCCCUUUAGUUGGGAAUAACGUACCGAAAGGUGCGCUAAUACCUGAUAAUACUGCAUAACUACUGUUGUGUAGUCAAAGAAGGCCUCUGUUUACAAGCUUUUGCUGAAGGAUGAGUCCGCGUACCAUUAGCUGGUUGGUGGGGUAAUGGCCUACCAAGGCUACGAUGGUUAGCUGGUCUGAGAGGAUGAUCAGCCACACUGGAACUGAGACACGGUCCAGACUCCUACGGGAGGCAGCAGUCGAGAAUAGUCUACAAUGGCCGAAAGGCUGAUAGUGCGACGCCGCGUGAACGAUGAAUCCCGUUCGGGUGUAAGUUCUUUUAUAUGUGAGCAGUGCUUCUUAUAUUAACAGUAUGGGGAGAGAGAUAUUAGCAUAU
rnacentral:rRNA from 1 species